GGCUUCGGCGUCGGCGCCGGCGCCGGCGGAGGAGAGGCGGAGGGAGAUGGAGGAGAGCGAGGAGGAGAGGUGCUCGAAGACCGCCAGCUGCCGCGCGGCGUCGAGCUUGAGGCGGCGGGCGUGGGCGGCGUAGGCGGCGACGACUGCGGCGUGGUCGGAUGCUUGCCGCCGGAUGAGCUCGAAGCGGGCGCGCAGGGGGUCUGGCUCCGCCGCAAGGAAGGAGCGGCGGUGGACGGCGACUUCGGCGGCGGAGGAGGAGGAGGACGAGGAGGAGGAGGAGGAGAGGAGGGAGGAGAUGGCGAGGAAUAAGAGGAGGGUGAGCGCGGCGGAGACGAGGACGCGGGCGCCGUGCGCGGGGCGGAAGGGACGGCCACCGGCCAUGGCGCGUGCUUGCUGUGUGGGGGCUCCGCAGCGGAUCUGAGGAUCGGGAUUUG
rnacentral:lncRNA from 1 species